UCCAUUGAGUUAUUAACGAUUGCAAUGGAUACUCAACAUAAAUAGUAUAUUAUUAGCCAAGGUUGCAAGGCCAAGCAUUCUAGACCGAGCGCAAAUUAGAACCCGAGACGCGCAGCGUCGAGGGCUCUGAAGCGCUAGGUCUAGAAGUGGCUUUGCAACCGUGGUUAAUAUACUAUUUUUUUCACUAGUAGACACCAUAAGACAAUAAAUUGAAAAAAUAAACGUUCAAUUUUUUUACGCAACAUGAUUUUGUUUUGAUUUCUAAUCAAACUUAAUCUAAAUCUUCAACACAAAGAAAACCGUUUAUACUUGUCGCUGAGUUAAUCAUUUUAUCUUCUACCGUCUACCAACUAUCAUGCGUAUACUCAAGUAAUGUUUGUAGCACACAUUUGUUCAUUUUUUAAGAAAUAAUCACAUCAAACAUUGCGUACAUAACCUCAAUUUUUCUUUUUGAACCCGUGGUAGCAAAAGUUGAAUUUGCUACCACUUGUUACGAUUUUUUUUUGGAGUCGAGGGUGAAAGGGGCUUAGACGAAGUCUCGCUCGAUGGUUUUAAUCGGUCGUAGCGAACGCCUGUCACCGAUCUCGACCUCUUUUUUUAUUGCGGAUUGUCGCCGGCAGCUCCGCCAAAUUUUGAGUUUUUUUUGCCUCUACGAAGUAGUACUGGCGGGGACGGAGACGGCCAAGCGAGAGGUGGGGGUGCAAAGUGAGAGAAGAGUGAGAGUUGGUGCCGAGAAGAGGUGAUUUGAGUUUGGCGAGGUUUGACCUGAUGGUUUCCUUUCUUUUUUGAGAGUACUCAGUUCCAUAGAUUGAUAGUGAGGCGUAUCCCUUGUAUAAGGGUCCACGCCAGGGGCGAAGUUUCGGAGCCGUACAGAGGCGACGUAGAGGGCAGCGAAACGAGGGAAAUUUGCUGGGCGUAGCGCCAGCUAGGAGACCCGGAGUUUUUGGAUGAUCGCGACGUCGAAGACGCGGACCUGGUGAGUUGAACAUCGGGGGAUCCAGGCCGCGGCAGGACUUGGUCAGCGCGUCGCCGUCGUCCUGUGGGAAGACUCCUGUUUUUUUGAGCUACGAGUAAAAGAACACGCCUUAUCGCGAUCGGAAAUUUUCUUAUCGUUUGUCGCCAGACCCAACCGUUUUUUUUCUGCGUCUCUCUCUUUCACUCUUUACAUGCUUUUCAACGUUUUUUCAAAUUUUCACGUACCCGCAUAAAUUUGAUGGCGCCCAAUUUUUUUUAUUUGUGAAAUAGUCAGCAUUUCCUGUAACUAGCUAGUAGACCGUUGUUGCGUAGUAGUUCGUCAGUUCAUUUGUUAUGGUAAUUCGUUACUGACAUUAGUUGUAGUUUUGUUACCUUUUACUAACCUAGAUAAUUUUUUUUUGUACUAAAAGCCCUAAAUAUUUUAAUUAUUAUACAGCUCGCCAAAAUAAUUAGCCUUUCAUUCUGAAUCAAAAUCUCGGAUCCACCUACCGGCUCUCCCGGAAGUGAGCACGGGCAAGUGUAUCUUCCCUCGCUUUUAUAGCAGAGACGACGUUUUAAGGUAACACACUAAAUGAGUCGACAUUUGCAUGCGCCCUGGCUGCUAGUGAAAAAUAACUAUUUUUUUAAUUAUCACGUAGGUUUGCUGAAAUAUUGGUUGCACACCUCCAAUAUAUUGAUGUGUUUUUUUUUUCGGACUGAACAUAGGGACUUUAUGGUGUAUUUAAAGAGUAGAAUAAUUGAAUUUCUUCAUGAUCCCAGGUAACACCCUGGGCAAAAAAAAGACAGGGUAAAAAUAAUACAUUUGUAACGAUUGAUAAUUUUGUUCAUAAACCUAAAAUGAUAUAAUUUUUUAAAUACAACUAAAAAAGAAACAAUAAAUUAUGUCGCCAUACAAUAUAAAAGUGAAUUUACCAUACAGACAUAAUAAUAUUCUAUGCUGAUGUUAUAUUUACAUUUAAGUUGUCAUAAAGAAAGAAUUCAAAAAACUUAA